GACGAACGCUGGCGGCGUGCUUAACACAUGCAAGUGGAGCGACGAACCAGGCUUCGGCCUGGGGCAGAGCCGCGAACGGGUGAGUAACACGUGGGUAACCUGCCCUGAUGAUCGGGACAACCCGGGGAAACCCGGGCUAAUACCGAAUGUGCCCUCCGUCCACAAGGACGGCGGGGAAAGGAAGCUUCGGCCUCCGCAUCGGGAUGGGCCCGCGGCGCAUUAGCUUGUUGGUGAGGUAACGGCUCACCAAGGCAACGAUGCGUAGCUGGUCUGAGAGGACGAUCAGCCACACUGGGACUGAGACACGGCCCAGACUCCUACGGGAGGCAGCAGUGGGGAAUCUUGCGCAAUGCGCGAAAGCGUGACGCAGCAACGCCGCGUGGGGGAAGACGGCCUUCGGGUUGUAAACCCCUUUCAGGAGGGACGAAGGCCGGGUGGUGAAUAGCCAUUCCGGCUGACGGUACCUCCACAAGAAGCCCCGGCUAACUACGUG
rnacentral:rRNA from 1 species